rnacentral:lncRNA from 1 species
ACUUUCAGAAAGUCACUACAGAACUGGUUUUUAACCCUCACCAGUUAAGUUAAAUAAUUUUAACCUCCAAGUUACAAAUGAAGAUUAAUUUUUAAUGAAAGGGUGAAAACUUUUUAACAAUAGUGUGUUUGUCCUCUUUUUCAGGGAAAAGCUCAGUUCCUCCAACUUUUGGCACUUCUCCUCCCCAUCCCACAACAGUAGGUCUCCCACCAGGUGUUUAUUACUUCAUCACCAUCACUGUGAAGGCAGUUGGACCCAAGAAUGAAACGGAAAUUACUGGCUUGCUGAGGGAUAUUUUCCAGAGCAACCUGCAGAAGUGCAUCCUCCCAGAACCUCCAAGCACAGCCGCCGCUGUUAUUACAACUUCCACCUCUUCAAACCCAACACAAAAGUGGGAAGGAAACAAUACUUCUUUAUUUCAAGGAGUGGAAGUGUCAUGUCUUUCUAAAACGUCAUUUACAAAUACCACAUGCACUGCGACACUACGGCUAAAUCAGACGGUGCCACCAUGUUGCAUCCUCCGAACACUUUGUACCGCCACUAAAAACUCAACGGACAUCUCUCUGGUGGGAAACAAGGCAGAGAGACUUAGCCCUCUUCAGACUGUGUGCAGCACAAUGGAUCAAACCAGCUGCAGUUAUUCUGGCUCAAACCAAACCAAUUGCGAGGGAUUUGUACCUGCAAAUGAGGUUCCACAAAACAACUCAACCAUCUGUGGAACUGCGAAGCCCCAGAACCACACAGGAAACUUCAGCUGUGACUGUUCUGCUUACUGCAAUGGAUCAGAUGCAUUCUACAUGUUUUUUGUCUCAGUUGAAAAUCCAAACAUAAACUCUUCACAAGACUACAACACACUGAUUUCUAAGUUAAAUGAAACUUGUUUCACAAAUGAAACAUGUCUACCAUUUGUAAAUGGAUCCCAAUACAAGGUAUUAAGACGACAAUCACACAGCUUCUUUUGUAACCCUUUAUGCUGUAUGUUGCUAAUUUGCAACGAAUCACUGCAAAAACACAAAAUCUCAAGUAUUUUUGCCUUGUUUCUAGUUUAAAUAUCUUAUUGCAUUUGAUAUAACACAAAAUUAAUAUACUUGUAAACUUUCAAAAAGAAGAUCUUAACGAACAUCGUUUUGUUUUUAAAACGUCUAAUUUUAAGGAAUAUCUUUUUUUUAACGUUUUUUUUUUUUACUUUACACAUUAUUUUUAAUAUAUUUUUUAAAUAUAUGCUCUAGAGAUUUAGGGAAACCUGAAAGUUUUAUUUGAUUUUACUUUGUACUUUUAAAGUGCAAUUUUUGUCCUUUUUUUAGGAUUAACAUAGUCUGUGAUGUAGUGCUUAAAAGGGAAUAUUCUGGGGCGAAAAAAGUAUAAAUAUGCAGGUUUUACAUACUUUAAACAUAUAAAACUUUUUUGAGAAAUACACACUAAUUUAAGAAAGUAAUAUUUCCGAUUACCAGAGCAAAAUACCUGUUAUGAGUCUCUAUGAGUCUAUAUUACAUAAUUGGAAAUAAAUUCAUGCAUGAAAGGGAUAAUAGUUUGACCAUUUCUGUAAGAAAAUCAGAAUCAGAAAUACUUUAUUGAUCCCACACGUGGGAAAUUUGUUCGUUACCAUAACAACUGACAGGGGGAAAAAAAGACUACGAAUAAUAUAAAAUAACAAUAAAAAAUAAGAACAAGGAAAAUGUGGUAUAAUUUAAAAAGCUAUUUACAAAACAGCGCAGGUAAAGAGAUGUGCAAACGAAAUGUGCAAAAUAGAGAAGAGAAAAAAAAUGUGCAAAGGUUAUCUUUUGCAUAGUGAGUUGUUGUACAGGGUUAUUGUAUUGGGUAGGAAAGAUUUCUGGUACUGGGGAGUUUUGGAGCGGAGCUGUCUGAGCCUCUUAGAGAAGGAGCUCUGCUGUUUGUCCAGAACAGGGUGGAGAAGAUGCUCUGGGUUGUCCAUGAUUGAAAGGAGUCUGUUCAGUGACCUCCUCUCCAUCACUGCUUCAAAUGUUGCAAAAUUGGACUUUAUUGCCUGAAACAAUAAUUUUACUGAAUCGUAUCAAAAAUUGUGUUUUUAUUAAAUACUUUGUGAGAUUAAAAUAUAUUGGUGUAUAACUAUUUUGAAUGCAUCACUGUAUGUUACAUAUAAUAUUAAAAUUACUUAUUAAUUUGACUGUUUUUAAAGUUACUCUUGCAGCUAAACU